CAUAUUGUGAGCUCGAUGAGUAGGGCGGGACACGUGGUAUCCUGUCUGAAUAUGGGGGGACCAUCCUCCAAGGCUAAAUACUCCUGACUGACCGAUAGUGAACCAGUACCGUGAGGGAAAGGCGAAAAGAACCCCGGCGAGGGGAGUGAAAAAGAACCUGAAACCGUGUACGUACAAGCAGUGGGAGCACGCUUAGGCGUGUGACUGCGUACCUUUUGUAUAAUGGGUCAGCGACUUAUAUUCUGUAGCAAGGUUAACCGAAUAGGGGAGCCGAAGGGAAACCGAGUCUUAACUGGGCGUUAAGUUGCAGGGUAUAGACCCGAAACCCGGUGAUCUAGCCAUGGGCAGGUUGAAGGUUGGGUAACACUAACUGGAGGACCGAACCGACUAAUGUUGAAAAAUUAGCGGAUGACUUGUGGCUGGGGGUGAAAGGCCAAUCAAACCGGGAGAUAGCUGGUUCUCCCCGAAAGCUAUUUAGGUAGCGCCUCGUGAAUUCAUCUCCGGGGGUAGAGCACUGUUUCGGCAAGGGGGUCAUCCCGACUUACCAACCCGAUGCAAACUGCGAAUACCGGAGAAUGUUAUCACGGGAGACACACGGCGGGUGCUAACGUCCGUCGUGAAGAGGGAAACAACCCAGACCGCCAGCUAAGGUCCCAAAGUCAUGGUUAAGUGGGAAACGAUGUGGGAAGGCCCAGACAGCCAGGAUGUUGGCUUAGAAGCAGCCAUCAUUUAAAGAAAGCGUAAUAGCUCACUGGUCGAGUCGGCCUGCGCGGAAGAUGUAACGGGGCUAAACCAUGCACCGAAGCUGCGGCAGCGACGCUGAUGCGUUGUUGGGUAGGGGAGCGUUCUGUAAGCCUGUGAAGGUGUGCUGUGAGGUAUGCUGGAGGUAUCAGAAGUGCGAAUGCUGACAUAAGUAACGAUAAAGCGGGUGAAAAGCCCGCUCGCCGGAAGACCAAGGGUUCCUGUCCAACGUUAAUCGGGGCAGGGUGAGUCGACCCCUAAGGCGAGGCCGAAAGGCGUAGUCGAUGGGAAACAGGUUAAUAUUCCUGUACUUGGUGUUACUGCGAAGGGGGGACGGAGAAGGCUAUGUUGGCCGGGCGACGGUUGUCCCGGUUUAAGCGUGUAGGCUGGUUUUCCAGGCAAAUCCGGAAAACUAAGGCUGAGGCGUGAUGACGAGGCACUACGGUGCUGAAGCAACAAAUGCCCUGCUUCCAGGAAAAGCCUCUAAGCAUCAGGUAACAUCAAAUCGUACCCCAAACCGACACAGGUGGUCAGGUAGAGAAUACCAAGGCGCUUGAGAGAACUCGGGUGAAGGAACUAGGCAAAAUGGUGCCGUAACUUCGGGAGAAGGCACGCUGAUAUGUAGGUGAAGUCCCUCGCGGAUGGAGCUGAAAUCAGUCGAAGAUACCAGCUGGCUGCAACUGUUUAUUAAAAACACAGCACUGUGCAAACACGAAAGUGGACGUAUACGGUGUGACGCCUGCCCGGUGCCGGAAGGUUAAUUGAUGGGGUCAGCGCAAGCGAAGCUCUUGAUCGAAGCCCCGGUAAACGGCGGCCGUAACUAUAACGGUCCUAAGGUAGCGAAAUUCCUUGUCGGGUAAGUUCCGACCUG
rnacentral:rRNA from 1 species